rnacentral:rRNA from 1 species
GUCCACGCCGUAAACGAUGAGUACUAGGUGCGGGGGGUAUAAACUCCUUCCGUGUCGUAGCUAACGCGAUAAGUACUCCGCCUGGGAAGUACGGCCGCAAGGCUGAAACUCAAAGGAAUUGACGGGGGCCCGCACAAGCGGUGGAGCAUGUGGUUUAAUUCGAUGCUACGCGAAGAACCUUACCUGGGCUUGACAUCCAGAGAAUCCUGCAGAGAUGCGGGAGUGCCUUUCGGGGAACUCUGAGACAGGUGCUGCAUGGCUGUCGU